rnacentral:sRNA from 2 species
CACAUUUUCAUCCGAGGGUCCUGCCCAUUGGUCACGUGAAGUAACAACAGGGGGAACGAAUAGGAUGUUGGGGGGAUUGGGUUGGGUGAUUCGUACCCUCUAUACCACCACGGCGCUGGUGGUGAUUGAGCUCUUUUGCCCUAGUGGCCUAAUAUAGGAUUGCUAUUGUUACGCAAACCGGUGGAAAAUUUGGGCUCGCAGUCCUUGCGUGUGGGCAGAAACAAUAGUUUAGGAGUUUGUAACGCCUACUCCAAUAUGGCUCAAGAAAGGUCUGAUGAACCAAACCAGGUAUGAAAGAAUGGAGGACAUGGGAAAUAUAAUCGAUAGGAGUAUGAUAAAGAAGGGG